CCAACAAGUGGAGGUCUGUUUAGCUGACCCUGGCGCUUCAGCUUGGCUUUGGGGCCCUGUCUGUUGAUGCAGCCCACUUGACCACCUACCCAUCUACUUGCUCAUCGGUCUGGACCUAGCCCCGAACCCGCUGUUCCCUUCUGUCAACUGUGGUUCAAGUUUUCAUCUUGCCACUGGAUUUCCCAGCUUUGCUCCCAAAACCUGACUCCACCAGUACCAGCAUGGUCCAUGGCUGGCACAGUCUCCGUUUGCUGUUUGCUAACAUGUGGGCUUUGCCCACCGUCUAAUUACAACAUUCCAUCAUUACAGAGGGCUCACGAUCCCAAACCCCAGCUGGCUCAGCAUGCUGAUACUACUAGUUGAAAGGAAAGCAGCAGGCAUCCAUGGAGCACACCCAAACCAGGUGGCAUCACUGCAGCCAUGAGAUCAGCAUCGCAAUUGAGUUGAGC